UACGGAGGGUGCAAGCGUUGUCCGGAUUUAUUGGGUUUAAAGGGUGCGUAGGUGGCCAGUUAAGUCUGACCUGAAAGUGGGCCGCUUAACGGCACAGGGUGGUUAGAUACUGACUGGCUUGAAGAGGGUGGAGGCCGCCGGAACGGAUCGUGUAGCGGUGAAAUGCAUAGAGAUGAUCCAGAACCCCGAUUGCGUAGGCAGGCGGCUACGCCCCACUUGACACUGAGGCACGAGAGCAUGGGGAGCAAACAGG
rnacentral:rRNA from 1 species